UUGAUACUUCCUUCAUUCGAAAAUACUUGUCCUAGAAAUAGAUGUAUCUGACUUAUUUUAGUUAUAAAUACAUCUAUUGUAUCCAUUUCUAGGAUAAGUAUUUUCGUAUGGAGGAAGUAUAUU
rnacentral:pre_miRNA from 2 species